GUAAAGGCCUACCAAGGCGAAGACGGGUAGGGGGUGUGAGAGCACGGCCCCCCACAAUGGGACUGAAACACGGCCCAUACUCCUACGGGAGGCAGCAGCAGGGAAUAUUGCACAAUAGGCGAAAGCCUGAUGCAGCGACGCCGCGUGAGUGAAGAAGGCCUUCGGGUCGUAAAGCUCUUUUGUAGGGGAAGAGGAAGGACGGUACCCUAAGAAGAAGCGCCGGCUAACUACGUGCCAGCAGCCGCGGUAAGACGUAGGACGCGAGCGUUAUCCGGAAUUACUGGGCGUAAAGGGCCAGCAGGCGGCUUGGUAAGUUGUGCGUGAAAGCCUCGUGCUCAACGCGAGGAAGCCGGACAAUACUGUCAAGCUAGAGGGCAUCAGAGGGGAGUGGAAUUCCCGGAGUAGCGGUAAAAUGCGCAGAUAUCGGGAGGAACACCGAUGGCGAAGGCAGCUCCCUGGGAUGCACCCGACGCUAAGAGGCGAAAGCUAGGGGAGCGAACAGGAUUAGAGACCCUGGUAGUCCUAGCUGUAAACGCUGGGUGCUAGGUGUGGGACGUAGAAGUUCCGUGCCGGAGCAAACGCGAUAAGCACCCCGCCUGGGAAUUACGGUCGCAAGGCUAAAACUCAAACGAAUUGACGGGGCCCCGCACAAGCAGCGGAGCGUGUGGUUCAAUUCGAUGCUACACGAAGAACCUUACCUGGGUUUGACAUGUACGUGGUACGAAGGCGAAAGCCUAAGGACCCUUCGGGGAGCGUACACAGGUGCUGCAUGGCUGUCGUCAGCUCGUGCCGUGAGGUGUCGGGUUAAGUCCCGUAACGAGCGCAACCCUUGCCCUUAGUUACAAGUGUCUAAGGGGACUGCCGGCGGGAAGCCGGAGGAAGGUGGGGAUGACGUCAAGUCAGCAUGGCCCUUAUGUCCAGGGCUACACACACGCUACAAUGGUCAGUACAAAGGGUAGCGAAGUCGCGAGNCGGAGCGAAUCUCAACAAAGCUGAUCGUAGUUCGGAUUGCAGGCUGCAACCCGCCUGCAUGAAGCUGGAGUUGCUAGUAACCGCGCGUCAGCCAUAGUGCGGUGAAUACGUACCCGGGCUUGUGCACACCGCCCGUCACGUCAUG
rnacentral:rRNA from 1 species